AAGAAUGACGCUGCAACAGGAUU
rnacentral:misc_RNA from 1 species